rnacentral:lncRNA from 1 species
GGAUAAUGUCUGCUUUAUUCCUGAAUUCUCAGGACUUUUCACAGGCUGGCACACAGUAGGUCUGUGUUGAAUGAACAAGUCAAUGAGCCUCUUCUAUAGCUUCAGACCCUUCAAUGUGUCAUCUAAUGACUGUGUUUCCUUGAUGUGCCUUUGGCUUGUUCCUUGCUCUGCAUCUCUGCCAGCCCUACCUAGUCCAGAGACAUCAUCUCCUGCCUCUGGAUCACCCCAGAUUUCUGUUUCUAAGGAAACGGAACAAAUUUCAUAAUGUCCAUCGAGAUACUAUCUUUGCUUCUAGCCACAGGGACGUAAGUAACUAGACAGCAACAUUGACUGCUUUGAAGACAUUGCUCUUUCUUUAUUUUCUGUGAGGAGCCGCACUCACAUUCGCCAUUACAAGAUGGCGCUGACAUCCGCUGCCGGAUCAAGUAAACAACGUUGGAAGUUCACAGAGAAAGUUAAAAGAGAAGGAAGGGAGCUGCAGAUGGAUGCCGAGGGACUCACCCACGUGAUGAGGAGGUGGAUACUACAAAGAAAAUACACAAGAUCAAAGGUGUAGAAGUGGCGGAGGGACAUUUCCACAUGUCAGAUAAGGAUUUUCAUAAAACAUAUACUUGAAGUGACUUCUCAAGGCCACAUGGGCAAGCAAAGGGAGCCUGCGCUCUAUCCACGGCACUGCACCAUGCCCCAUACCAGAGUACGUGGAAGCCGAGAUCCAUGGGGUCCUAGGAGCCUACGAGAGACGGAGCCUUCGGUGCUUCUGAACUCUCCUCGGAAGCAGAGUCAACACAGUGCCUAGCAUGCACAGUACACAGUUAAUGUUUGCUGAAUGAAUGAACAAGAAAGGAAACCACAACCCCAUCUGAUGUUCCGUGGUGAAUUGACUGGAGACACACAGUUUGAGGGCAGCACAUGAAUAAUUUUGCAUCUAGGAUCAGCACAGCUGCUUUCAGGCAAUGAAACUCUGAGGUUUCCUAUCCACUCCAGAGCCAGAAAGCCAAAACUGCCUUGACAUCAGAAGAACUCGGAGCAAGGAAAUACAGGACUACCCUUUAUGUAUAAAGUGUGUAGAUC